UACGUAGGGUGCGAGCGUUAAUCGGAAUUACUGGGCGUAAAGCGUGCGCAGGCGGUUUUGUAAGCCAGAUGUGAAAUCCCCGGGCUUAACCUGGGAAUGGCAUUUGGGACUGCAAGGCUGGAGUGCGGCAGAGGAGACUGGAAUUCCUGGUGUAGCAGUGAAAUGCGUAGAUAUCGGGAGGAACACCUAUGGCGAAGGCAGCUCGCUGGGACGUUACUGACGCUGAGACGCGAAAGCGCGGGGAGCAAACAGG
rnacentral:rRNA from 1 species